rnacentral:sRNA from 1 species
GACCUUCAUAACUGAUGAGUUAGAGCAAAAAUUGAUUAUUCAAGAUGAUAAAGAAACUAGUUUUUUCUAAUUGUCCCAUGGGAAUGAAAAACCGUAAAGAGUCACCCAGCUCUCUGGAAAAUGUUGAAAAAGACAAAUGCCAGAUAAUACCCGUGGUGAAUAAUGCAUACCAUAGAGAUUUUGAAGACCUGUCAAAUGAGAAUCGUGACAAAGUCUGUUUUCAAAUGCAUUUUUCAGCAAACACUGCUGAGUCCAACUGCGCAGUGUGUGCUUCAGAUAAUCUGUUUCUUAUUGAAAAAACACUGACCAAUGAUGUGGACCUACAUGGUAACCAAGAUAAAGAAAACCUUGGACUAACUAGUUCUAAACAGGAGCCAGCACAGUGCCAAAGGAUUGCAUCAACAGGGCCAAAUACUGAAGAGGAUGAGAACAAAAAUGACUCAAAGGAAAAUUACUGUUACCAAAUACACACGUUGAUGCCACCUCAGAAGCAAGCUUUGAAAGAUUGGUAUUUGGAAAUAAAUAGUCUCUGAAAGUUAUCCCAGGAAUUGGUUCCAAGAGGUGGAAGAGCUAGUGAUGGUUCCCAGGGAGAAGCAAUUGACCAGUGGGCCAGAAGGAGGCAGCAAUACAAAGAAGGCAAAAAACCCGGUUCAGCAGCAGGGAGCUUAUUUGCCAGCAAUAUCACAGAAGAAUCCAUCACCUCAGAAGAGGGCCAUUCUGUGGACCUUGGCUUUUAAAUUGAUAUUGAGGAAAAAGGAUUCUACACAGAGAAUUUUCAUUCAGCAGCCUGGGUUUUCUGAGGGGAUGAUGUGAAUCCUGAGGAUGGUCCCAGAUGUCUUAGUAAAAAACCUCACCCAGUAGCUGACAGUGCCGCCAAGAAAGCCGGGCUCCAGAUUGGAGAUGCGGUACUGGCUGUCAAUGGCACUGAGGUCACCAGUGUCGAGCUUGCAGAAGCUGUGAACCUUGCAAUGAAAGGUACAGACAUCUUGACCCUGGUGGGCCGCUGCCCCAGUACCCCUUGGCCCACCUGCCACGGCUACCUACAUAAGAGGACUCACUCCGGGAUCGUGAAGGGUUGGAGAAAGAGGUGGUUUGUGCUGAAGUAUGAUGGAUGCCUCUACUAUUACAAACAUAACAAGGAUGAAGGAAAAUGGCCACCUCUAGAAGUAAUAAAAUUAGAAGGUGCAGAAGUUAGCAUUGAUAGCAGCUUGGGAAAACCAUUUGUGUUUAACUGUGUGCCUCAGUCUGGAAAUAGGACUUUUUGCCUCUAUGCAACCUCAAACCAAGAAAUGAAAAGGUGGCUUGAGGCAAUGGACAAAGCGGCCCAUCUUGUCCGCCAGAGCCAUGUCUGGGAAGAUGUUACUCUGCACAACAGUAGCCUCCCACCUCUGGCUAUCAAGAACCCAGGGUGUCUGGGUCUUCUGCACCAGCUGGAUAUAAACACGGACAUGUGGGUCCUGCACUAUUGCAUCUUGAAAGGACGGUUGCUUGUAUUUCUAUGAUAACAAUCGCUCUACCCAAGCCUCAGGUGGUCUAUAUCUGCAAGGAUAUAGGGUGAGUGAACAGACCCUUAGUUCCAAACAAUUAGUAAUUGAACUCUAGCCUCCAUCCAAAGAGUUCAAGACUUUCUGUUUCUGUGCGGAAAAUGAAAUAGAAAACCAACGCUCGAUUACAGCUCUGAAAGCAUUUAUCAAAAAAAUGGCUUCCUUUGCAUUAGGCUAUUCAAGACUUUAUGAAUUGACCUCUAGGACAAGCCAAAAUGCGAA